UACGGAGGGGACUAGCGUUGUUCGGAAUUACUGGGCGUAAAGCGUGCGCAGGCGGUUUUGUAAGCCAGAUGUGAAAGCCCCGGGCUCAACCUGGGAAUGGCAUUUGGGACUGCAAGACUGGAGUUUGGCAGAGGAGACUGGAAUUCCUGGUGUAGCAGUGAAAUGCGUAGGAGAAUCAUGGAGGAAGACCAGUGGCGAAGGCGGG
rnacentral:rRNA from 1 species